CUCCAGACUGCAGUUCAAGAACUGCGACAACAAAAUCUGCUCCACGAACAACAACUUGCCACACCGGAGGACAAACGCCGCCAAAAUAACCUGAAAAUCAGAGGCGUAGCUGACUCUGUUCCAGAGGCCGAGCUCCCACAUUGUACCAGACGGCUACUUACUGCAUUACUGACCCCAAAGGCAGCCAGAGCGAUUGCACUGGACGGAAUUGUAACGGAGCACCUUGUACUCCGACCGAGUACCCUCCGUUGAUGGAUGCUCCUAGCGCUUCCUGAGGACUCCAAACACUGCAGCAGACACCACAACCACCGUAGCUUGACUGGAGUCUCGCCAUCUUCCUUCUACCCUGGAUCAGCUUCUGUCCUCCAGGACUGUGUGG